CUUACCCUUUAUCUGAGAUACCGGCGGAUUUUGCCCGCCUCCUCGAAUUCUUCUUACCUUUUGUCCUGCGUUACACGCCGGGGAAAGGAAUUCUGGGAUCGUGUGUUAUGCUGAUGCAAAGUGUUUUUAAGAAGUAAAGAAGUUGUAAAACAAUGGAUACAAGUGUAUAUUUAUAAUACAAGAAAUGACGAUUCUGAAAAAGAAGCUGAUGACCAGAAUAAGGGAUAGGAAGAUGACCUGUUUGCUUGAAGAGCGAGACCAGAGAGCAAGGAGCGGAGUAACUUGAUCCUUGAGGGUGCCUUUGGCUUAAGGGGGAAGCUGACUCUUCCGGAGAAUCCUGGAGCCGACAACAAAGGAACUCAGCACCCAGCUAACUUCCAGGAAGAAGCUUCCUUUCCUCCCCCUGCUUUUCCCCUUUCCCCUCCUUUCUCUCUCUGCAGCCAUCAGAAAUAAACUCUGGCUCAUUUCAUCUGAAAUAUGCUUUAUUCCAGGGAGAGUAAUAGCUCAGAGAAUCUCUGAAAAAGAUCUCUAGAAAAAUCUCUAGAAAAGACAAGGAAACAGAUUAUCCCCUAGAGCCUCCAGAAGGACUCUCGCCCUAUUUCCAGCACGGGUGUACCCAACAUGGUUCUCACUGGAAUUACAGCAAAUUGGAAGACAGUGGUGGUGACACAGGGUGAAGAACUACUUUUCAGAGGGUGAAACACAAGACUGGCUUUUAGGAAUUUUCCCCCAAAGUAAUUUGUGACUGGAUCCUGUUGCCGAAACUUGGCCUCUGUUCACCGGUGCCGAAGAGGAACGCGGAGACAGAGUUUUGGUUCCCCGACCACGGAUCGAACCCGUGCGCCCUGCAGUGGAAGCUCACAGUCUAAACCCUGGACCGCCAGGGAAGUCCGUGAGUUUUUUUUGUUCAUGUUGUUGUUUGUUUUAAUUUUUCAACUGUUACUAGGAAAUAAUUGUGGAGCAAGUGCUUGGUUUUAAUGCUGGAAAGCAAAAGAACGUAACUAAGGACUUUUCCCAAGGAAUGCUUUGAGAUCUUUAUGUCAAUUUGUGGUGUGACUUAUCCACUUUUUCAAUUAAGGAUUCUUAAUUAAAGGAAAACAAACUUAUUUAUAGGUUCGAAUCAGUCUUACAGAGCAACAGGUUUUCAACUGGGAUCCGCAGCCCACCCGCAUCUGAAACAUGUGGUUUGUGUGUACGUGAAAAAUGCAGACUCUAGGGCCCCACACCAACGAAACCUCUGGGGGUUGGAGCCCAGGAAGGAGCUUCUGUAAUCUCCACAGCUGAUUCUGAGGCACUCUAAUUGUAAGAACUGCCCUUUAAUAUUUUUAGAUAAGGGGAUUGUUACAAAAUGACAAGAGGGUAAAUAAUCAUUCUUUUAAAGUUAGACUUCAAGCGUUGGACAGCGAGGUGAGCUCUUCCUGACAGUUUGUCUUUCCUGUUCUUCCCCACUCAGCCUAGGGACGCGUGCAGAAAUUAGAAACAAAGUAGGGGAAGAAAACCUUAUUUCUUUACACACAUUUUGCUUUAAUAGCCACCGAAAAGAUUGUUUCAUUUCCUCUCACUGACCCUGUCCACCAGUUAUGUUGGCCUUUAACGUAUCGCUAUAGCAGCAUGUAUAAAUAUAUAUCAUACAUUUAUUCACACAUACACACAUUCGAAAGCACUGUGAAGACACAGACUAGGCUUUGGCACAACUGGGGGCCGCUCACAUGUCACUUAAAAAUGGUCACUGGUUCAUUUACACAAGACUUUCAACAGGCUUGGUGUGGCCAGUGGCCCCCAAGUCCCAGAGAGAAGUUAGGAUGACAAAAUCGGACAGUGUAUUUAGAGUGAGGUCAGUACACUUCUUGGAGAUCAUAAAAGCAUAGAAAUAGGAGGUCUAGGCUAAGCACGAGACGGCAUCUGGGGAUCACUGCUCUCACCACGUGGGUUCAAAGAACUCAGGUGCUGCAGUGUAGACCGACGCCCAGCCUGACUGUGACCCAGCCGCGCUGGCCCCGGGUCAGGUCGUCGGGCCCCUGCCGACACUGUCCUGCGGGGCACCGCUGCUCAGUCCUGAGCUUUUCGAUCUGCCGUGGAGCUCCAGCGUGGGGACCACAUGCUCCAUUGCUAGGAAGCAGGUCCCGUUUCCCCCGAGUUGACCCUCGGAGGAUGAGGCGAGAAAUGUGCUGUUGCUGGUUCCCAAGCCCCUGGGGCGUUCAGAAGCAGUGCCACAAGGUCCUCUACCAACGGUGCCUGUUUUGCUUAGUGCUGGGCCCGGUGGACCUUGGCUGGUUGUUCCUCAACAACUGCAGGAGAGGCCCUCUGCCUUUCGCCCUGCCCCACCAGGCCACAUCUCUGACUCCUUCCAGACCCUCCAGCAGGUGUGGAGGAGUGGGGCCCAGAUCCUCCUCAGCAGACAGGGA